GACGAACGCUGGCGGCGUGCCUAAUACAUGCAAGUUGAGCGCUGAAGGUUGGUACUUGUACCAACUGGAUGAGCAGCGAACGGGUGAGUAACGCGUGGGGAAUCUGCCUUUGAGCGGGGGACAACAUUUGGAAACGAAUGCUAAUACCGCAUAAAAACUUUAAACACAAGUUUUAAGUUUGAAAGAUGCAAUUGCAUCACUCAAAGAUGAUCCCGCGUUGUAUUAGCUAGUUGGUGAGGUAAAGGCUCACCAAGGCGAUGAUACAUAGCCGACCUGAGAGGGUGAUCGGCCACAUUGGGACUGAGACACGGCCCAAACUCCUACGGGAGGCAGCAGUAGGGAAUCUUCGGCAAUGGACGAAAGUCUGACCGAGCAACGCCGCGUGAGUGAAGAAGGUUUUCGGAUCGUAAAACUCUGUUGGUAGAGAAGAACGUUGGUGAGAGUGGAAAGCUCAUCAAGUGACGGUAACUACACAGAAAGGGACGGCUAACUACGUG
rnacentral:rRNA from 1 species